GGCGGGGGGGGGGGCACUUUUCCAAAAGGGUGGUCCAGCCCCAACUCUUCUUGUAUGGGAUCUGGGGACUGACCCAAGAAAGGGGACAGAGGAGGACCUCCAUCCAGCUGAGAAGGCCACCAGACAGCCCCCCAGGAGCCCACUGGCACAAUCUCAGGUCCAUCUAUCCCAGGGGCUUGGCCCAAAGCACCUCCUAUGUGGCUGUACUCAAGUGUGACCCAGCCAUGCUGGGGGACCCAUGAGGAUCUGUCCUACCCCGCCAGAGUCAGACGGCCGGUCUCAGCCGCACACAGGGGGGCCAGCAUUCCCAAGAGAGCCCCUCCCUACCAAAGCCCCCUUGCCCUCUACUCCCCCACUCCCUGGAGUCACCACAGGUAUGGAGCAAGGAGCUGUGUGCCCGCCCUGCUGACCCACUUCAGGCCCAGCCGAGGCGGCUUGGAUAAAACACUCCAGGACGUGCCAACCCAGAGGAACUGGAGGAGGCUCUUGGCUUCGUGGCUCCCAGCCAGUUCUUGCUGAGCUUGGAAGUCAGGCGGAGAGCAAGUCCCGAAUACCUCUCACCACGAGACUCCUGAGCUCCUCAUCCUUACAACCGCCUCGGAAGCAGGGCCUGCUGGGCUUGAUGGGGCGGAAGCACAAGACCCCACAGCCCAGAACUGCGCCCAGGGCUCCAGCCCUCGAAUGCAGUGUCCCAGGACUUCCCUCCUGCCCAGCAGCAGAUCUCACCCCUUGAGAAAGCCAUCUAGGCAACCAUGAAAUAGUGUCUGGAGGAUGAGACUCACCUCAGACUUCCUCUGGGAAAAACAGGAGCUUCAGAGGGGCAAGAGACCUGCUUAGGACCUGACCCCAGUGAUGCAGCAGUAGUGACCAGGCCCCUCGCCUGGACCCCACACCAAGAAUUCCCAUUUUGGAGCUGGGUCCCCUGGCUCAUGGGAAAACCCCACAGGGCCCUAGCAUGCCUCUGUCUGCAGAGCCUGGGGGUCCUGAGCAGCAAGAGGCAAAUGACACAGGGACAAGAAGAAGACAGCCCUCUCCAGAGCUCACGGUGGCAGCUGGACUCCUGAGCUGAGCUGAGGGACCCCUGGCAAAUGUGAGGGCUCAGAACUCUCCGGAGGAAUUUUUCCAAGGGGAAGACUUCUGGCCUCUCCAGAUCACUUUAUUCACCACGGAACAAAAAGCAUCACGUCUCUGUCAAAAUAAAGAAAAGGGGGAACAUGGAGAGGGAGCCGACUGCUUGGAUGCGAAUGCCCCACCCACUCCAGACCUCUGUCCUUCCCACCCCCAGCCAGGCUGGUGCCACCAACUAAACCAAGGUCCCAGAACCGGCAAGCUCAAAGGGCAGGCCCAGAGUGGGGGCUCAGGGGACCCAGAGGGUGCUCCCAGUCUGCGCCAUUCUUCUCUGUACCUGGAGCCGAGCCAGUGGGUUCCUGUGAAUGCUGAUUGACUUUUCGGACUUUGGCAAGCCGUUUCCCUUCCUGGGCCUCAGGGCCUUUGCACGGGCUAUUCGCUCUGCUGGGAAUCCCUUUCCCAGACAACUAUGCAGCUCCCUAACCCUGCUCUAAGUCUGCGCAUCUGUCACUGUCUCCAGUGGCCUUCCUUGAAAUGAUACCCCUUCCCCAUAUUUUUCUCCAAAGUAUUUACUACCUUCUUAUAAUAAACUUUA